rnacentral:rRNA from 1 species
UCCCGUUGAUCCUGCGGGAGGUUGCUGCUAUGGGGAUUCGGAUUAGCCAUGCAAGUCUUGGACCGCAAGGUCCGGCGAUAUGCUCAGGAACACGUCGAUAAUCUUACCUUAAGUAUGGAAUAACCUCGGGAAACUGAGGAUAAUACCGUAUAUGGAAUGGAUACUGGAACGUACCAUUCCUCAAAGCUUCGGCGCUUAAGGAUGAGUCGGCGGCCGAUUAGGUUGUUGGUGAGGUAAUGGCUUACCAAGCCGAUGAUCGGUAGGGGCCUUUAUCGAGGUCGCCCCGAGAAGAACACUGAGACACUGGUUCUAGCCCUACGGGGUGCAGCAGGCACGAAUACUUUCCAAUGCACGAAAGUGUGAGAAGGGGAUCCCUAGUGCUUAUACACAGUAUAGGCUUUUGCCAAGAGUAAAUAUCUUGGCGAAUAAGUGGUGGGCAAGACUGGUGCCAGCCGCCGCGGUAACACCAGCGCCACAAGUGGCAAUCGUAAUUAUUGGGCCUAAAGCGUUCGUAGCUGGUCUGGUAAAUCUUCUGUGAAAUCGUUGUGCUCAACAUAACGGCGUGCAGAGGACACUGCCAGACUUGGGACCGGGAGAGGUAGUGGGUAUUCCAAGGGGAGCGGUAAAAUGUUAUAAUCCUUGGAGGACCACCUGUGGCGAAGGCGCACUACUAGAACGGAUCCGACAGUGAGGAACGAAAGCCAGGGGAGCGAAAAGGAUUAGAUACCCUCGUAGUCCUGGCCGUAAACGCUGUGAGCUAGGUGUUGCACAUUCUACAUGGAUGUGCAGUGUCGAAGUGAAGAUGUUAAGCUCACCGCCUGGGAAGUACGGUCGCAAGACUGAAACUUAAAGGAAUUGGCGGGGGAGCACCACAAGGGGUGCGGCGUGCGGUUUAAUCUAACUCAACGCAGAGAAUCUCACCAUGGGCGACGGCAGGAUGAAGGUCAAGCUAAUGGCUUUACUAGACGAGCCGAGAGGUGGUGCAUGGCCGUCGUCAGCUCGUGCCGCAAGGUGUCCUGUUAAGUCAGGCAACGAGCGAGACCUGUACCCACUAUUGCUAACGGUUCCCUUCGGGGAAGACCGAGCACAUUGUGGGGACUGCUGUGGUAACGCAGAGGAAGGUGCAGGCUACGGUAGGUCUGUAUGCCCCGAAUCUCAUGGGCUACACGCGCGCAACAAUGGUAGGGACAAUGGGAUGCGACUCCGAAAGGAGAAGCUAAACCUCGAAACCCUAUCUAAGUCCAGAUUGAGGCUUGUAACUCAGCCUCAUGACGUCGGAAUCCCUAGUAAUCAGAAGUUAUCAUCUUCUGGUGAAUAUGUCCCUGCUCCUUGCACACACCGCCCGUCAAACCAACCGAGCCGGGUUCGGAUUAGGACUAGUUUACGGAUUAGUUCGAAUUUGAGUUCAGUGAGGUGGGUUAAGUCGUCACAAGGUA